UACAGAGGUCUCAAGCGUUGUUCGGAAUCACUGGGCGUAAAGGGUGCGUAGGUGGCGUGGUAAGUCUGAUGUGAAAGCCCUGGGCUCAACCCGGGAAGUGCAUUGGAUACUGCAAAUCUCGAGUCCGGAAGAGGUGAGUGGAAUUCCUAGUGUAGAGGUGAAAUUCGUAGAUAUCGGGAGGAACACCUGUGGCGAAGGCGGCCGCCUGGUUGGAUACUGACGCUGAGACGCGAAAGCGUGGGGAGCAAACAGG
rnacentral:rRNA from 1 species